rnacentral:rRNA from 1 species
AUUGAACGCUGGCGGCAGGCUUAACACAUGCAAGUCGAGCGAGCGGCGGACGGGUGAGUAAUGUCUGGGAAACUGCCUGAUGGAGGGGGAUAACUACUGGAAAAGGUAGCUAAUACCGCAUACCAUCAGAUGUGCCCAGAUGGGCUUAGCUAGUAGGUGGGGUAAUGGCUCACCUAGGCGACGAUCCCUAGCUGGUCUGAGAGGAUGACCAGCCACACUGGAGCUGAGACACGGUCCAGACUCCUACGGGGGGCAGCAGUGGAGAAUAUUGCUCAAUGGGCGCAGGCCUGAUGCAGCCAUGCCGCGUGUGUGAAGAAGGCCUUCGGGUUGUAAAGCACUUUCAGCGGGUAGGCGUUACUCGCAGAAGAAGCACCGGCUAACUCCGUGCCAGCCGCCGCGGUAAUAC